rnacentral:rRNA from 1 species
GACCGUGCAAAGGUAGCAUAAUCAUUUGCCUUAUAAUUGAAGGCUAGUAUGAAUGGUUUGACGAGAAUUAAGCUGUCUCUUUUCAAUUAAAUAUAAUUUUAUAUGCAGGUGAAGAAGCCUGCAUUUUAUUGAAAGACAAGAAGACCCUAUCGAGCUUUAAAGAAUUUAUAAGACCUACUGAGUAUUUAUAAAUAAAUAGGACUAAUAAAAACUUUGGUUGGGGCGACUGAGGAACAAAUAAAGCUUCCUUUAAACUAAAAAAACUUACUGGUAUUGAUCCAAUAUAUUUGAUUAAAGGAAUUAGUUACCGUAGGGAUAACAGCAUAAUCCUCUUUGAGAGUUCUUAUCGAAAAGGGGGUUUGUGACCUCGAUGUUGGACCAGAAUACCCAGAAGAUGCAGCCGUCUUCAAUGGUUGGUCUGUUCGACCAUUAAAAUUCUACGUGAUCUGAGUUCAGACCGGCGUGAGCCAGGUCAGUUUCUAUCUUCAAUUUAUAGGGUGGCCUUAGUACGAAAGGACCAGGCUACUGCAAGUUUUGUAGUAAUACGAUUAAAUAUAAAGAAAAAUUAAAUAAAUAAAGAUCAAAUUAGCAAAGACGAAUGCAAUUGACUUAGGAUCAAUAGACAUAGGUGAAAUCCCUUUAUUUGAUAAAUAAAGAUGGCAGAAGAA